AAACUAAACCAAAACAUGGAAUUAAAGCAAUCACAUAGAGCAAUCACCCUUACCCGCGACGAUUUCGCCGACCCCAAGGAAAAUGGUGGAGGCGGGCGAUUGAGUGGAUGCAGCAGAAUUGUUAGUGAACUAAUAAAUUUAUAACUAAAAAAUCUAGGUUUUAAAAUUUCUAUUGUUAAACAUUUACCUUGUAUAUACUUUUAAUCUUUCCAAAAAAAAGUUCUUUCUAAAGUAGAGAAAUCAUUCUAUAUUUACUAUUGUAAUCUUUCCUAAUAGAAAACUUACCAUGGAGGAGAAAAACUUACCAUGGGUAGAUCGAUGCAGGACCGACGCCGCGAAUCGCGGUGGGGAAGGGAGAAAGGGAGGUGGCAGAUCGCGGCGGAAGUCAGCGGGGCGAAUCGUGGUGGGGGAAGUGCAGUUUUGAGCUUUCAACACCUCCAUGGGCGUGUGCUAUCCAACACCUUUGUGUGUCACCUCUGCUGGUCGGGCGGCGACAGCCAUGGCUGUCGUGGUCGCCGGAAAUCGCGAAGAGGCAGUGAGGAUUUGGAGAUCUAGGCUUUGUUUGGGAGAGAGGAGGGAGAUUAGGGACUGAGAGAUGGAGAUGUAGGUCGAGAGAGAAUCUGUGACCAUGGCCGUGGCUCGCCGGCGGCACUUUCCCUGGAGUUUCAGGGGCGGCUUCGAUGGGGUGAGGAAGAGAGAGGCGUGAGUUUCUUUUUCUUUGAGCAAA
rnacentral:lncRNA from 1 species